CACACCUGCCAGACGCCUCUCAUCCCCGCGGGGCGCCACGCCCGCCGCGCGCAGCUCGGGAUAAGUGAGCGCCCGGCGCGCAGGUGAAGCUCGGACUCCGGCUGCCCGCCGAGGGGCCGCCAGUUUGCGCGCAGGGCCCCGGCAACCGCGCGGCCAUGGAGGCACCGCGGGGAAUAGGCACCUUCGUGGUGUGGGACUAUGUCGUGUUCGCCGGGAUGCUGCUCAUCUCGGCAGCCAUCGGCAUCUACUACGCCUUCGUGGGGGGCGGCCAGCAGACCUCCAAGGACUUCUUGAUGGGCGGCCGCAGGAUGACCGCCGUGCCCGUGGCGAUGUCCCUCACCGCCAGCUUUAUGUCGGCUGUCACCGUCCUGGGCACACCCUCCGAGGUCUACCGUUUUGGGGCCAUAUUCAGCAUCUUUGCCAUCACCUACUUCUUUGUAGUGGUCCUCAGCGCGGAGGUCUUCCUCCCAGUAUUCUACAAACUGGGAAUUACCAGCACCUACGAGUAUUUAGGACUUCGAUUUAAUAAAUAUGUUCGUCUCUGUGGAACAAUCCUCUUCAUUGUUCAAACAAUUCUGUAUACUGGAAUCGUUAUUUAUGCUCCUGCCCUGGCUUUGAAUCAAGUCACGGGAUUCGAUCUGUGGGGUGCUGUUGUGGCUACUGGUGUGGUCUGCACGUUCUACUGCACCAUGGGUGGUCUUAAAGCAGUUAUCUGGACGGACGUUUUUCAAGUUGGCAUCAUGGUGGCUGGAUUUGCAUCUGUGAUUAUACAGGCUGCACUGAUUCAAGGAGGAAUCAGCGCUAUUCUAAAUGAUGCCUAUAAUGGAGGAAGAUUAAACUUCUGGAAUUUUAAUCCUAACCCUUUGCAAAGACACACAUUCUGGACGAUUAUUAUAGGAGGGACCUUCACGUGGACCAGCAUCUAUGGUGUCAACCAGUCCCAAGUGCAGAGAUAUAUUUCCUGUAAAAGCAGACUCCAGGCAAAACUGUCUCUCUACAUCAAUCUUGUGGCACUCUGGGUGAUCCUGACCUGUUCAGUGUUCUGUGGGCUCUCCCUGUAUUCCAGAUACCAUGCCUGUGAUCCUUGGACAGCCAAGAAAGUGUCAGCACCAGACCAGCUCAUGCCUUAUUUGGUACUGGACAUUCUACAAGAGUAUCCGGGACUUCCUGGACUUUUUGUGGCCUGUGCUUACAGUGGAACAUUAAGCACAGUGUCCUCCAGUAUUAAUGCCUUAGCAGCAGUAACCGUGGAAGAUCUAGUCAAACCUCGCUUCCGAUCUCUCUCAGAAAGGUCUCUCUCUUGGAUUUCCCAAGGAAUGAGUGUGCUGUUUGGAGCCCUGUGUAUUGGAAUGGCUGCGCUGGCAUCACUAAUGGGAGCUUUGUUGCAGGCAGCACUCAGCAUAUUUGGCAUGGUUGGGGGACCACUUAUGGGCUUAUUUGCUUUGGGGAUUUUGGUUCCCUUUGCCAACUCAAUUGGAGCACUUGUGGGUCUACUGGCUGGAUUUGCCAUUUCUUUGUGGGUUGGAAUUGGAGCUCAACUUUAUCCUCCACUUCCUGAGAGAACUAUGCCAUUAAGCCUUGAAACCUAUGGCUGUAACAGCACAUACAAUGGGACAAGUUGGAUGACAACCACAGAAAUGCCAUUUUCUACCAGUGCUUUUCAAGUACACAACAUUGAAAGGACUCCACUGAUGGAUAACUGGUAUUCUUUAUCGUAUCUAUACUUCAGCACUGUUGGAACUUUGGUAACGUUAUUCGUGGGAAUGCUUAUCAGUUUAUCAACAGGAGGAAGAAAACAAAACAUAGACCGCAGAUUCCUGCUAACCAAAGAGGACUUUUUAUCCAAUUUUGACAUUUUUAAGAAAAAGAAGCAAGUUUUAGACUAUAAAUCUCAUCCAAUAGAAGAUGGUGGAACUGAUAAUCCUGCCUUCAACCAUAUUGAAUUGAACUGCACAGAUCAAAGUGGCAAGAUCAGUGGGACUCCCUUGUGAAGCAGCUGUGAUGCUAAAGGAUCUUAAACAAUGUCUCAGUUCUAAAUGUUUUUUAAGAUAAUUGGAUCAGCUUUAGAUUUGUUUUGUUCUAUCAUGAGUGUUUUUUGGGGGACUUUGGGGGAUACAUUUUUGUUAAAGCAAAGUUGUGACUUUUACUUUCUACACUCAUUAACUGAUGCUAUUCUGGAGAUCUUUGUUGGAGUAAAAUUGCUUUACACUGUUGUGCUGGUUUCCGCUGUACAACAAAGUGAAUCAGCUGCAUUUAUACAUAUAUCCCCAUAUCCCCUCCCUCUUGAGCCUCCAUCCCACCCUCCCUAUCCCACCCCUCUAGGUCAUCAAGAGUUUCAUUUCUUAACAUGACUUUCAACAUUAACACGCAUUAGGAUGAAAGAAGUAUUAGAUAUGGAUAUGAAGUUUUCAUAAUUUUGUCUCAUUUAUGAUAACUCCAGAAAGUAUAGUUAAUUGUUAACAACUGAGUGUGUGUCCAUGAUGCAGAUACAUGGGACAGGGAUGGAGUUGAGAUGGAGGAAGUAACUCUCUGUGCUGAUUCUUAUAGGAAAUUCUGAGUUUUAUCCAAUAACGAUUGUUGUUACAGAGUCAACUAAGUGCAUGACCCUUUAGUUACUGAAAUUCACUGUAUAAUUUAAUCACUGUAAAAUUCACUUUUACAUUUAAGUCGUAUGCCUGUUGUUUGUGAAAAAACUUGAGGGGAUUGAACAUUAUAAUGUAAAACAUGGUUGCAUUUCUGAUUUUUCAA